UGGGGAAUUUUGGACAAUGGGCGAAAGCCUGAUCCAGCAAUGCCGCGUGUGUGAAGAAGGCCUUCGGGUUGUAAAGCACUUUUGUCCGGAAAGAAAUCCUUGGCUCUAAUACAGUCGGGGGAUGACGGUACCGGAAGAAUAAGCACCGGCUAACUACGUGCCAGCAGCCGCGGUAAUACGUAGGGUGCAAGCGUUAAUCGGAAUUACUGGGCGUAAAGCGUGCGCAGGCGGUUUGCUAAGACCGAUGUGAAAUCCCCGGGCUCAACCUGGGAACUGCAUUGGUGACUGGCAGGCUAGAGUAUGGCAGAGGGGGGUAGAAUUCCACGUGUAGCAGUGAAAUGCGUAGAGAUGUGGAGGAAUACCGAUGGCGAAGGCAGCCCCCUGGGCCAAUACUGACGCUCAUGCACGAAAGCGUGGGGAGCAAACAGGAUUAGAUACCCUGGUAGUCCACGCCCUAAAACGAUGUCAACUAGUUGUUGGGGAUUCAUUUCCUUAGUAACGUAGCUAACGCGUGAAGUUGACCGCCUGGGGAGUACGGUCGCAAGAUUAAAACUCAAGGAAUUGACGGGGUCAUAGCUGUUUCCU
rnacentral:rRNA from 1 species